rnacentral:rRNA from 1 species
AUUGAACGCUGGCGGCAGGCCUAACACAUGCAAGUCGAGCGAGCGGAGGACGGGUGAGUAAUGUAUGGGGACUGCCCGAUAGAGGGGGAUAACUACUGGAAACGGUGGCUAAUACCGCAUACUAUCGGAUAACCCAUAUGGGAUUAGCUAGGAGGUGGGGUAAAGGCUCACCUAGGCGACGAUCUCUAGCUGGUCUGAGAGGAUGAUCUGCCAUACUGUGACUGAGAAACGGACCAGACUCCUACGGAGGCAGAAGUGGCGAAUAUUGCACAAUGGGCGCAAGCCUGACUCAACCAUGCCGAGGGUAUGAAGAAGGCCUUCGGGUUGUAAAAUACUUUAAGUCGGGAGGCGUUACCGACACAAGAAGCACCGGCUAACUCCGUGCCAGCAGCCGCGGUAAUUC